AACGCACAUUGCGCCUUCUGGUAUUCCGGGAGGCAUGCCUGUCCGAGCGUCAUCAAACACAGUCAAGCUUUGGCGUUGCUAUUCGUCAAAGCUUGGAGUUGACGGUUGUGCGAGACCUGAUACGUCCAGCACACCGUCGAAACACAAAGGCGGAAACCGACGCGGCCCGUGGUGUAGUAAUACUUCAUUUCACCUGUGUUGCCGCAUUGUAAUUUCUUGCCCAAGACAAACUCCCAUUGUGGGAAAAAUAAUCUCCAACGUUUGACCUCGGAUCAGGUAAGGAUACCCGCUGAACUUAA
rnacentral:misc_RNA from 1 species